rnacentral:rRNA from 1 species
GCCUGCAUGAAGUUGGAAUUGCUAGUAAUCGCGGAUCAGCAUGCCGCGGUGAAUACGUUCCCUGGCCUUGUACACACCGCCCGUCACACCAUGGGAGCCGGUAAUACCCGAAGUCAGUAGCCUAACCGCAAGGGGGGCGCUGCCGAAGGUAGGAUUGGCGACUGGGGUGAAGUCGUAACAAGGUAGC